UGGUGAUGUUGACGUGACAAACCCUAAAUAGAAGAUCCACCAUAAUGUACAUUCAUACUAUAUGUGCUAUUAGUCAACCGAUAGAAAGGAGUGAUUGAAUAGAUCCCUACUUCAUCACUGUGUGAGCCCUAAAGACGUAUGUAGUCCAAAUUUUGUACCCUUUAAGACUUGGAUUUAUGAUAUGAAGUUGAGAUUUGGUGUUGCUGCUUUAACAUGAUUUCC
rnacentral:lncRNA from 1 species